rnacentral:lncRNA from 1 species
UUUGAAUAACACUUGAUUUACAUCAUCAUCAGCAUUCGGUCUGGUUGGCUGAUAGCCUAUGCGAGGCAGAAAGACACAGUAGAGAGGAGCGGCUGCAUCUACGACCCUGCGACCCAACUCCAUCCCUUCCUCAGUCGGGAGUUACACAUGUGUGUCAGGGCAGCAGCAACACAGCUCUGGAACGGAUGCUGUUUUACUUCCUGUGGGGAAGCAAGUGGGAGAGGCUGAGGAGGGAGGUGGUCAAGAGGCCCAGGUCCAAGGGGGGAAAGGCUUGCCUGACCUCUACUUGUUCCUGGGCAGCCACUAUACAUUGUUACAUCUCACUCUUGCCACCUCCCCGGGCAACAACAAGACCCAGGCCCUCGCACGGUUCUGGCUGGGAUCUUACAUCAGAACCCUGAGGCUGAUCCCAGUCGACCUGCAAGCCCAAGUCUCUUUCCUUCUCCCCACACACUACGCCCAGCUCCAGAAGUUUUUUAGACAUUUUAAACUGGAAAGGGAAGCAGUCACGGUUUUGACUGGGCACCGCUCUCUUCUCUCUUGUGCAGGAGUGGGAACCAGUGCGUCCAGUGUGCGGGCUUGCUAACGGUGAGCCCAUAACGGUUUGGUGUAAUGUGGCCCAUCCUGCUCUCCUGAAUUGGCACCGGGACCUGUCCUGGAUGGUCGCCCACGAGAUCCUCCCGGUCAAGGUCGUUAUGCACUCCCGGGGCAUGGCGAGGAUAUCCGUGUGCCCCCGACCAGGCUGCGGCCAAGAGAAGUCGGUGAGGCACUUGCUCUGGGAGUGCAGAGCCGCCAGGGACCUGUGGAAGGAAGCAGGCCCCCUGAUCUCCCCGUGUCUGUCAGCAGGGGAGGACCUAAUGCCCCAGCUCGUGCUGUAUGGGGUGGGCCGAAGGCCUAUUCCACCGAAGGCCUUCACCAAGCUCUGGCCCACCCUCACGUGUCUGAAGGAAGCACUGUGGUCCUCCUGUAACCUGCUGGUAGCGAAAUGAGUAGAGACCACCCCCCAGGCAGUGGCCAUGGUAGCCACGGAAGCCCUGGGGUGGUACAGAAGAAAGGGAGCCUCGACCCCAAGCGAAGGGUCCCCCACAACACCCAAGGUCCCGGCGGCCACGGCCUGACAGCGCUGCGGUGCCUAGGGCGAUGCACCUUGAGGAGGGAUCUCCUCUGGGACCUGAAGGACAGGACUGUGAUUGAUUCGGAAGAGCAGGAGGAGGCGAGUUUGAUAAGGACUCACCCUGCUCCUGUACAAAGGACCAAAGACAGCUUUUUAACAAAGUGACUUUUUCUUACAUGCUUUCAUGUCUUAAAAAUGUUUUACUUUUGUUAAAUCAUUUGUAC